UGCAGUCGAACGGCAGCGCGGGAGCAAUCCUGGCGGCGAGUGGCGAACGGGUGAGUAAUACAUCGGAACGUGCCCAAUCGUGGGGGAUAACGCAGCGAAAGCUGUGCUAAUACCGCAUACGAUCUACGGAUGAAAGCAGGGGAUCGCAAGACCUUGCGCGAAUGGAGCGGCCGAUGGCAGAUUAGGUAGUUGGUGAGGUAAAGGCUCACCAAGCCUUCGAUCUGUAGCUGGUCUGAGAGGACGACCAGCCACACUGGGACUGAGACACGGCCCAGACUCCUACGGGAGGCAGCAGUGGGGAAUUUUGGACAAUGGGCGAAAGCCUGAUCCAGCCAUGCCGCGUGCAGGAUGAAGGCCUUCGGGUUGUAAACUGCUUUUGUACGGAACGAAACGGCCUUUUCUAAUAAAGAGGGCUAAUGACGGUACCGUAAGAAUAAGCACCGGCUAACUACGUGCCAGCAGCCGCGGUAAUACGUAGGGUGCAAGCGUUAAUCGGAAUUACUGGGCGUAAAGCGUGCGCAGGCGGUUAUGUAAGACAGUUGUGAAAUCCCCGGGCUCAACCUGGGAACUGCAUCUGUGACUGCAUAGCUAGAGUACGGUAGAGGGGGAUGGAAUUCCGCGUGUAGCAGUGAAAUGCGUAGAUAUGCGGAGGAACACCGAUGGCGAAGGCAAUCCCCUGGACCUGUACUGACGCUCAUGCACGAAAGCGUGGGGAGCAAACAGGAUUAGAUACCCCUGGUAGUCCACGCCCUAAACGAUGUCAACUGGGUUGUUGGGUCUUCACUGACUCAGUAACGAAGCUAACGCCGUGAAGUUGACCGCCCUGGGGGAGUACGGGCCGCAAGGGUUGAAACUCCAAAGGAAUUUGACGGGGGACCCGCACAAAGCGGUGGGAUGGAAGGUGGGUUUAAAUUCCGAUUGCAACGGCGAAAAAACCUUUACCCCACCUUUUGACAUUGUACGGGAAUUCCGCCAGAGAAUGG
rnacentral:rRNA from 1 species